GACGAACGCUGGCGGCGUGCUUAACACAUGCAAGUCGAGCGGUAAGGCUCCUUCGGGAGUACACGAGCGGCGAACGGGAGAGUAACACGUGAGCAAUCUGCCCUUCACACAGGGAUAACUCCGGGAAACCGAAGCUAAUACCUGAUACGACCACUUCAGGCAUCUGAUGGUGGUGGAAAGUUCCGGCGGUGAAGGAUGAGCUCGCGGCCUAUCAGCUUGUUGGUGGGGUAACGGCCCACCAAGGCAACGACGGGUAGCCGGCCUGAGAGGGGGACCGGCCACACUGGGACUGAGACACGGCCCAGACUCCUACGGGAGGCAGCAGUGGGGAAUAUUGGACAAUGGGCGAAAGCCUGAUCCAGCAACGCCGCGUGAGGGAUGACGGCCUUCGGGUUGUAAACCUCUUUCAGCAGGGACGAAGCGCAAGUGACGGUACCUGCAGAAGAAGCACCGGCCAACUACGUGCCAGCCGCCGCAGUAAUAC
rnacentral:rRNA from 1 species